rnacentral:rRNA from 1 species
AACGAACGCUGGCGGCAGGCUUAACACAUGCAAGUCGAGCGCCCCGCAAGGGGAGCGGCAGACGGGUGAGUAACGCGUGGGAAUCUACCCAUCUCUACGGAAUAACGCAUGGAAACGUGUGCUAAUACCGUAUACGUCCUUCGGGAGAAAGAUUUAUCGGAGAUGGAUGAGCCCGCGUUGGAUUAGCUAGUUGGUGGGGUAAAGGCCUACCAAGGCGACGAUCCAUAGCUGGUCUGAGAGGAUGAUCAGCCACACUGGGACUGAGACACGGCCCAGACUCCUACGGGAGGCAGCAGUGGGGAAUAGUGGACAAUGGGCGCAAGCCUGAUCCAGCCAUGCCGCGUGAGUGAUGAAGGCCCUAGGGUUGUAAAGCUCUUUCACCGGUGAAGGUAAUGACGGUAACCGGAGAAGAAGCCCCGGCUAACUUCGUGCCAGCCGCCGCCGUAAAAA